UAAUACGCUCUCUCCUUAUUAAUUAAUUAAUCAGAAUAAUAGUUAGGUCUGCCUCGCAUCACUCCCGCCAGAACCUCAGUCAGUGUGUGUGUGUGUGUGUGUUUUUUUUGUUGGCCGCCGAAAGUCUCCGUCGGUCUCAAUUUUACCGAAGUAACAGCGCUACCAUUUCGUUGCUUUAAAGGGUCAGGGCAUGAAAUAUUUCCAAGUUUUUCUCCUUUUUCUUUGAUGCUCUACUCACAAGAAAUCACAUUUAGGCAUUUAAGCUUUAUUCAAAUUCAUGGGCCAAACUAUUUCAUCAUUGAACGUGCAGUCGAUGCUGAAUCCAGCUUAGCUAUCCCUGUUCCUGCUCAUUGCUUAAACUGAUUAGUUCUUUUCUUUUCCUUUUUCCUUUGGGAAUUAAAAUUUUUCUUGAUAUUUGUUGAUAUAGAAAGGUACUAUGGCUUGGUGGGGAGAUGCUGAUGAAACUCGGGUUCUUAUUGCACCAGAUCACGAUACAAAUGGGAAUGGUUCAGGAAAUGUUCUAUCUCUUCGGCAUCCCAAAACUGGAAAUAAGGCAUGCUACCUCUAUUUUGAUGAAGAACUUCUGGAACUUCACUGGUUUAAGCAAUCUUAUGGGUCUUGGUUCCUGGGGGAUUAUGUUUGUGAAGAUGGCCGCUUAUAUACUGCCACUCCAGUAGAUCCUGUUUUCAUCCUGCUGCCUAUAUUUGAUGAAGCACGAAUGAAGAAAAAAGAUGAUCCAGGGAAAUUCAGGCAGCUGGAUGAGAUAUUGUAUGUUCAAGGGUAUGAAGGAUAUCAACAAUUGGCAUCUAUUGCAGAAAAAUCCAUGCAAAUAGUCUGUGAUUUUAAAGAAGUUGGAUCAGCAAAGUUUUUUAGGCUUAAUGACUCGAAGGUGUUAAGGUGGUUGAGCUAUAAGUUCUUGCAAUUUGUAGGUGCACCAAUUAAGGCAGGUUCUACCAACGCUGGAUAAGAACUAUGCUGCCCAAAUUGAGAGAGCUACAUUGGUUGAUGCGGUCUCAGUAAUUGGUGAAUACUUGAAUGAAGAGCCUUGGCUGAAGCUUCUUUGCGGCAAGUUAAACUUGUGCUUACAGGAUGAACUGAGAUCACCAGAGCGCAAAAUUCUUCCAUCCUCACUUGAAAGUGGUCAGGCAUCGUUUGAUACCAAUGCAAUUCAGGAAAAGACGGGGUUUGAGAAGAAAACUACUGGAAAUGGAAGGCUAGCAAAAAAGGCCAAAGUGGAGAAAAACACUCGAAAUAUCAAAGACAUGUUCAGCAGAGCUUCGAGAAAAGGAAGUUGAAUUUUGCCGUAUAAUUGGCUGUAGCAACGGUAUGGCACUGUAAAGGCGUGAUGAAGGGGGCAACGGAGGCUGCAAUGAACAAUUUGGGCAUUGGCACCUGUAACAUUCUCUUGAGCAGAUGGCUUUACCCGAAGGCUACUGCUUCUGUACAAUGUUAAUAAACAUAAUUGCUGUAUUCUUAGUGGCACAAGGGUCAAUGAAUCAACGGUUUAUACAAAUCUCAACCCUGUAAUUCUUCCAUAUAUCUGCCUGUCUUUCAUUAAGGACCUGAUGAAGGUCCAUGGAUUGAACUAUUUAAGACGUGGACUCAGAGGAGCUGCCAUAGCUAUGAGGUACUUUAGGCUUGCAAGUAAAUGGAAUUGCUGAUUUCUGGUUAGUGGCCUUUACACUAGUCAAUAAUGUAUUAUUGUAGCCAUUAUAGUUUUA